rnacentral:misc_RNA from 1 species
GAUGAAGAACGUAGCGAAAUGCGAUAAGUAGUGUGAAUUGCAGAAUUCAGUGAAUCAUCGAAUCUUUGAACGCACAUUGCGCCCUUUGGUAUUCCUUAGGGCAUGCCUGUUCGAGCGUCAUUUAAACCUUCAAGCUCAGCUUGGUGAUGGGUGACUGUCCCCCCCUCGCGGGGGGACUCGCCUCAAAAACAUUGGCGGCCGGUACAUUGGCUUCGAGCGCAGCAGAAACGCGGUCUCGAGUCCGGUGGAUCGGCUCCCAUAAGUCUAUUCUUUUAUUUUGACCUCGGAUCAGGUAGGGAUACCCGCUGAACUUAAGCAUAUCAAUAAGCGGAGGA